UACAUAGUCUGCCAAUCAGCUGCGAGGGGGCGUUGGCUUAGUGCGUCACUCUGACCGAAGGCUCAGUCUGCGGUUAGCCCAGCUAGAGGAGCUGCACGAUUCGUCUGUUCUCCGUCACGCCCACCUUGAUGUCUUCCUAAGGAACACCUAUGACCGGGGUACAUAGUGAUCAUGAUGGACCUGCAGACAACUCUGUCCUCUCUGGAUUUCAGCAAGCUCUUCAAAGGACAAAACUUCAAGCUUUUCGGAUGAGAAGAAUUACAAACAAGUGUUGCUGAAUGAAAUUCUACCUGUACUGUAAACCUGCUGUUUUUAGAGUGAUAUUAAACGCUAAUAGUUUUAUUUUUUAA